UACGGGGGGGGGCAAGCGUUGUUCGGAAUUACUGGGCGUAAAGGGCUCGUAGGCGGCCAACUAAGUCGGAUGUGAAAUCCCCAAGCUUAACUUGGGAACUGCAUCCGAUACUGGAUGGCUUGAAUCCGGGAGAGGGAUGCAGAAUUCCAGGUGUAGCGGUGAAAUGCGUAGAUAUCUGGAGGAAUACCGGUGGCGAAGCCGGCAUCCUGGACCGGCAUUGACGCUGAGGAGCGAAAGCUAGGGGAGCAAACGGG
rnacentral:rRNA from 1 species